AGAAUCUUUCGCAAUGCCCGAAAGGGUGACGAAGCGACGCCGCGUGCGGGAAGAAGGCCUUCGGGUUGUAAACCACUGUCGGGAGUUAAGAAGUGUAAGGGUGUUAAGAGCAUCCUUACUUGACGUUAGCUCCGGAGGAAGCCACGGCUAACUCUGUGCCAGCAGCCGCGGUAAUACAGAGGUGGCAAGCGUUGUUCGGAAUUGUUGGGCGUAAAGAGCACGUAGGCGGCCCUGCAAGUCAGCUGUGAAAUCCUUCUGCUCAACGGAAGAACGGCAGUUGAUACUACAGGGCUAGAGUGCGGGAGGGGAGAGUGGAACUUCUGGUGGAGCGGUGAAAUGCGUAGAUAUCAGAAGGAACAUCGGCGGCGAAAGCGACUCUCUGGUCCGUAACUGACGCUGAGGUGCGAAAGCUAGGGGAGCAAACGGGAUUAGAUACCCCGGUAGUCCUAGCCGUAAACGAUGGGCACUCGGUAGAGGGGUUUUGAUUAUCUCUCUGCCUGAGCUAACGCGUUAAGUGCCCCGCCUGGGGAGUACGGCCGCAAGGCUAAAACUCAAAAGAAUUGACGGGGGCUCGCACAAGCGGUGGAGCAUGUGGCUUAAUUCGAUGCAACACGAAGAACCUUACCGGGGCUUGACAUGGUAGAAGUAGGAGCCCGAAAGGGUAACGAACGGUAUCCAGUCCGUCACUAUCACAGGUGUUGCAUGGCUG
rnacentral:rRNA from 1 species